UACAGAGGGUGCGAGCGUUAAUCGGAAUUACUGGGCGUAAGGCGUGCGUAGACGGUUAUUUAAGUCGGAUGUGAAAUCCCCGGGCUCAACCUGGGAAUUGCAUUCGAAACUGGAUGGCUAGGGUGCGGAAGAGGGAAGCGGAAUUUCCGGUGUAGCGGUGAAAUGCGUAGAUAUCGGAAGGAACAUCAGUGGCGAAAGCGGCUUCCUGGUCCAGCACCGACGUUCAGGCACGAAAGCGUGGGGAGCAAACAGGAUUAGAUACCCUGGUAGUCCACGCCAUAAACGAUGAGAACUAGACGUUGGGAGGGUCAGCCUCUCAGUGUCGUAGCUAACGCGCUAAGUUCUCCGCCUGGGGAGUACGGCCGCAAGGUUGAAACUCAAAG
rnacentral:rRNA from 1 species